rnacentral:rRNA from 1 species
GACGAACGCUGGCGGCGCGCCUAACACAUGCAAGUCGAACGGAGCUGAGAGAAGCUUGCUUUUCUUAGCUUAGUGGCGAACGGGUGAGUAACGCGUGAGUAACCUGCCCUGGAGUGGGGGACAACAGUUGGAAACGACUGCUAAUACCGCAUAAGCCCACGAUCCGGCAUCGGAUUGAGGGAAAAGGAUUUAUUCGCUUCAGGAUGGACUCGCGUCCAAUUAGCUAGGUGGUGAGGUAACGGCCCACCAAGGCGACGACUGGUAGCCGGACUGGGAGGUUGAACGGCCACAUUGGGACUGAGACACGGCCCAGACUCCUACGGGAGGCAGCAGUGGGGGAUAUUGCACAAUGGGGGAAACCCUGAUGCAGCGACGCCGCGUGGAGGAAGAAGGUUUGCGGAUUGUAAACUCCUGUCGUUAGGGACGAUAAUGACGGUACCUAACAAGAAAGCACCGGCUAACUACGUG